UACGUAGGGGGCAAGCGUUGUCCGGAAUCAUUGGGCGUAAAGCGCGCGUAGGCGGCCCGGUAAGUCCGUUGUAAAAGUCAAAGGCUCAACCUUUGAAAGCCGAUGGAUACUGCCGGGCUAGAAUCCGGAAGAGGCGAGUGGAAUUCCUGGUGUAGCGGUGGAAUGCGCAGAUAUCAGGAGGAACACCAACAGCGAAGGCAGCUCGCUGGGACGGUAUUGACGCUGAGGCACGAAAGCGUGGGGAGCAAACAGG
rnacentral:rRNA from 1 species